rnacentral:lncRNA from 1 species
AGCUGGAGCCCGGGACGGAGGCAGCGGGGAACAGACCUGCGUCUCCAUCAAGGUUUCAAGCCAUCCUCUGACAUCGCUCGUCAGGGAUUUUACCGCUCUCCCAGGUCUGUGUGAUUCACCCCGAUCCAGCUGGCAAGGUGAAGGGGCGAGGGGGUGUUUCCCCCAUACUACAUCUUCACCAGGCUCACAAGGUGGUCCCGGGGCUCCUCUGGGUGGUCUUGGGCGGGUAGAGGUUAGCAUCCAAGUCCCAAGUCAGACUGAGUCUACUUUCAGGGCGCGUUUUCCACCGAUGGUGUACAUUUCCAUUCAAAAGCCCUAAGUGAGCAUUGAAACAGAGCCAUGAUGAAGGUUAUUCGCCCAGACACAAACUCCUAAGAUAUAUUUUGUGUGCUGGGGAAGGAGCGGCCCCCAAAGGCUGAGCAAAGGCAACUCAGGAGCUCAGCAUGUAGGUGGUUUUUGUGGUUUUGGCUUCACCGAAAGUUCCAGAGACGGAGAGGUUUGGCGAUGACUGUGAGGGCAUCUGGUGUGGAUCACUCUUUCGGUCCAGUUGAAUUGAAUCCACCAAGUAGGAGCCAUGUACCUGCGCCGUGCCAAGCACCGUGUUAGGUGUUGUUGGUGGACAGGAGGCCUGUCAAAGUCUGUCCUCCUGGACCUUAUUAUUCGGUGCGGGAUGCAAACAAGAGUUGCCCUGGUAGCGAUGUGAUCACAGAGGGCGGCAGCUGCCUCUUUCUCGUCCAGACCCAGAGAUUUAGAGUCCCGAGGCCCAGUUCAAGUUCCCAACCCACCAACCUCUAGCUGUUGAACUUUGGGCCACUUAAUAUUUUUAAGCCUUAGCUUGCUCGACUAUAAUAUUAGGUUAUUAUAAAUGAGGGGCGCCUGGGUGGCGCAGUCGGUUGAGCGUCCGACUUCAGCCAGGUCACGAUCUCGCGGUCCGUGGGUUCGAGCCCCGCGUCCGGCUCUGGGCUGAUGGCUCGGAGCCUGGAGCCUGUUUCCGAUUCUGUGUCUCCCUCUCUCUCUGCCCGUCCCCCGUUCAUGCUCUGUCUCUCUCUGUCCCGAAAAUAAACGUUGAAAAAAAAAUUAAAAAAAAAAAAAUAAAAAAAAUAAAUGACAUCUGCCCUGUCCACGUCAUGGGUCGUUAGGAGGGCCUGAUGAGAUAAUUUACCUGCAAGUCUUUUUGAGCUCAUAAGGAGACCUUUGAAUUGUUACUGGGACGACCAAGAACUUGGUUUCGGAAGAUUUCAACGCUAUUCUCUCACUGUUGUUCACUGUUAGGUUAUUAACACUACUUAUUAUUAAUAAGAUGUGAAAAUCUGAAAAAGCUAUCAAUAUGCAUUGUCCAGGAUAGGAGCCACUGGCCACACGUGGCCUUGGAGCACCUGAAAUAAGGCGAGUCUGAAUGUGAACUUGGUAAAAAAAAAAAAAAAAAAAAAAAAAAGAGAGAGAAAAGAAUGUAAGCUAUCUCAUAAUUUUUUAUAUUGAUUACAUGUUCACACGAUAAUAUUUUGGAUAUAUUGGGUUAAACUAAAUAGGUGAUUAGAAUUAAUUUAAUUCCUUUUUUUAGUGCAGCUACUAGAAAGUUUUAAAUGACAUACAUGGCUCCCAUUAUGUUUUUACAGGACAUGCAGCUAUCGAGGCUCUCUUUGGAAACUUUGUUCUGCCCACAAGUACUCAUGGACAUUCACAUGCUUUCAGAGGUCGUGUAGACGCCCUUAAAGUCCCAUUUGUGACUAUUUUAAAGGUCGCUUUUUAUUUACACCGAAAAUACGUAUAAGAACUGUUUCUGUGAAAUUAGGUCACAGUCAGCGAGAACCAAGAGACUUACAUUCCUCUGUGCAGGAAACAGUUUCAUCAUCACUGCCAUCAAAGACGCUGCAUGGAAGGUCAGCUCUGGACUGUGUGUAGAGCGCUCCGAUCGAGAUCGUUAGAUCUCUGCAGAUAGGCGGCUAACGCGUCACUACAAAUGUGGGUAGAAGGAGGACACCCUAAAGUUUCACGAAUGAAGAGAUUUUCUGAGGAUCAAGCCAACGGCCGCGCUUCCCUCCCAUCCCCGGAUCUGUCCCCGCCCACCGCAAAAAGGCCAAAGGAAAAGGAAGAGCCAUCCUUUUGCUGUGCCUCUCUCGCUGAGUUCCCCUUCACAUUCUCUGAGGAAUUAUCUAUGCCUAUUUUAUCAGUGGAGAAAAGGAGGCUCAGAACGGCCCAGAAACUUGCCAGCCGUCACGUGGGUAGAAGAAGCAAACUGAGAAGCAAACGCUUUCCAGAGUUGGGCCGCGUCUGGGAGGUACUACCUUUAAACAUGGAGUCGACUGCGACCUAACGAGACCCAAGGAGUCUGCUGGCUGGCCUGGUCCCCAAGCAGAAGCAGAUCACUGCCCAACUUCUACGUGUGGGACGACCCGUGGCAACAUAAAGGGCAAACACACAAGGAAGUCUUUCUUUCUGAGAAUGUUUCCACUGCAGUUAGGUUAGAAAAUGAUCCGGGGAAGAUAUAAACUAGCUCUUUCAUUUAGCAAAAUAAAAUGCCUCUCCACUUGGUAAUCUGGGUGGUGGAAGUCCCAGCCAGAGUCUUGGUUUUUAAAGGUUUUGUUUAAUUUGCCACCCCCACACCUCUCCUCCCACCACCUCGCAUCAGGCUAGACAAGAAGAAAGGGGACAGUGGCCUGGCAGAUGCCUCCGUGUGGUAUGUCCUUGCAGAAUAGCUUCAGCAGCACUUUAUGUCAAAUAACCAGGGGAAAAAAGGGAAGUGGAGGUGAUGGGAGGUGUCUGCAUUUCCUGGGGUUUUGUUCCAGUUUUAAUAAAUAAGGAUAAUGCAUAGAGUGUCUCCAUUUCCAGAGCUGUGUUUUUUUCCUUAAACACUGCCGCUCUUCAUGGGGAAGGAAUGAGACAUUCCUGACACAUGAUUUGGCAGGUCUCAAUCAUAAAUGAUCCAAUAUUGGCUUUCAGAAUCCCGUUCCAGAUUUGGCCCAGACUCCAAACCCUGUCCAGGCACCAGCUAGAUGAGUACCUCUGGGCCUGGGCGGGGUGCCAGCCACACUUUGAAUAACAUUUGUGGGAUCUCCCCAGGGGUUCUGGUGAGGAAGGCAGUGAUUUGUUGUCCGGAUAGCUUUUCCCUCCUUGGAAAAGAGCACACGGAAUGAAAGCGCAUGAAGGACAUCAGGUGUCCCCACAGGAGUUUCAUAAUAGCGAAGACACGGAGGAGCCACCAUGCAGGGACCAAGUGAGGAACGUUUUGUCCCCGCCCUAAGGUACUUGCCCUCAAUCAGCUAAUCCCACUAUGGUACGGCUGGUGGCACCUGUCAAGUUAAAAAGUGAAAUCUACCAAACUUAUUUGUCUUUGGGGGUGGGGCUGUGUCUUUUCCUGAGUGGUGCCCCGUCUGGCAUUUCUCAAAACAUGAUCUAGAGACUCGUCUGCAUUAGAAUCGAGGGGAUCUAGUUCCAUGGUGGAUUUUUGGUCUCCUAAUCACCUACCAAGUAUGUGCGAACUAGAGCCAAGAAUUUGCUUCACAGCAACCUGCCAGGCAAUCCUGAUACACCCCAAAGUUGUGAGCCAUUGGCUAUAAAAAAUCCUUCACAUAUUUUUAAUCCAUCGCAGCACCUCGUGGCGGUGGAGAGUAAGACUGGCUUCGUUUUGCUGAUGGCCAUGUGAAUUUGUUUCACUGCGUGUCUACUUACUUAGGGAAAGUUUGAACUGCUAAAGACAGGGGCUACUUUAAGCCUUUGCUCUUGCCGAUUGAUACAUGUAUCUUGUCCUUUUGCAGUUAUGGUUAUCAUCUGCCCACCAACAGUAUUUCUAAGAAGCUGCUUCUCUGUGUCUUCUGGGAAGAAUGUAUCCUUCAAUAUAUGUGAUUGCAGCCUGUUGAUAAAAGCAAAAGAAAAAUAAUAAAACCCACUUUGUUGAAC